GAGAAUGUGCCUUGUUAGGCAUCUGCUUUCUGAUCCCACUGGAGCAACCAUGAUAAGAACUUACCUCACAGUAUAGGCCUCAUCCUUUAUAUUUCUUCCCCUGUUUGGUCUAUUUUUGAAUUGACAUAUAGAAACACGAGGAUCCCCUUCACGUCUGAAAUAUUAGGUUUUUAGAUGCAUUUUGAUUGUAUAUUCCAUCACUUGGUAAAGAUAAUGACAAUAUUGUUGUUUCUACUCCUUCAACAUAGUGCCAAUACCUCCUCUAUAACGCCUAUUUCGGGCAUAAAAAUAUUUACAUACUAGCCUAGCUCUACAUUACAAAUUGGGAAAUAAGUGAAAAACUUAGAACAUAACAAAGUUUAUUGCUAGGGGAAGAAAAAGUGAUUCAGAGUACGAAACAUCUCACAUUUGUGAGUUCUGGAAGGGCUGAUUUACGCAGCCUUACCCUUUUUUGCAGAAGGACUGUUUCUAUGGCUCAAACUUAUGACCUACAAGUAACUUUAU
rnacentral:misc_RNA from 1 species